rnacentral:rRNA from 1 species
UGGGGAAUCUUGCGCAAUGGGCGAAAGCCUGACGCAGCAACGCCGCGUGAGCGAAGAAGGCCUUCGGGUUGUAAAGCUCUGUCAGGAGGAAAGAAGGCACCUGGGUUAAUAGCCCAAGGGCUGACGGUACCUCCAAAGGAAGCCACGGCUAACUACGUGCCAGCAGCCGCGGUAAUACGUAGGUGGCAAGCGUUGUCAGGAAUCAGUGGGCGUAAAGAGCGCGGAGGUGACUUGUCAGGUCUGGUGUGAAAUUUCGGGGCGCAACCCCGA